rnacentral:lncRNA from 1 species
GCAGGUUCCCCCGCCCGCCCCGAGUCCCCUUUUGCAUAAUGACUAGCAGCCAGCUUGGUAUUUGCAGCCCAGUUAAAACCGUGCUAAUUUGCUGUGGAGAGCUGGGGCUGAGGCGGUGGCAGUACCUGCGUUAGUGCUUGCCACAGCAAAAACGCCUCCAAUAGUUCAAGUGAAUGUUACCAAGACCUUUUCAAUUUCUGCUGAGAGAAUCCCACUGGGGUUUGCUUUUCAAAAUACAAAUCUUUCACGGGCCUGUUAGUUUUGGAUUUCCACGCAAUUUAUGGUGCCCUUUCCCUGCAAAUUUUUCCCAACCUGAUUUUUAACAGUUUCCAGCAAAUAGGUCCCUGGGUCUCCAGUGGCCGCAGUUCGAGUUUAGAAAUGAAACAAAACAAAAGUGCAGAGAUCCUGGGAAUGCCCCAGGCGCUGGCCACUGUGGGCGGCUCGGGACCACACACCGGGAUGCCCGCGAGGAAAGGCUCCCACUUUUAGAAUCUAGAACACUUACUGCCAGAUGAAGAAGUUCUUUCUGGCCUCUUUCUGGGGACUCUGAAAGGAGAAGAAAAGUGGGAAUUCUGCUCGCUUUCUUUUGGAAUAUUUGAUUUUUUUUUUUUCAUGGUUGCAGCGGAGUUCCGAACCCGGCACAAACCUCUUAAAUCAGACAGUUCAUUGGCAUGAGGUAUCUCCACACAUCUGGGCAACCAUCAGUACUGUACCCUUCAUCAAACAGCCAAGCCCACAGCCUUUCACACAGAGCAUUCUUUCUCCCUCCCCUCAGCCCCUGGCAGACACCAUCCUACUUUCUGUCCCUAUGAAUUCUACAAGUCUAAAUGAAGCAGACACACAAAUGAACCAUCUGUAAAUGUGCCAGGAAAGAAUCAAGUUUUUACUAAUCAAGCACAUUUUCGAAAGAACCAUCAAGUUGAACAAACCAUUGGGCAUCCUUUAACUUAGUUAUUUCUGUCGGAGGCGUUUGUGGGAGGUACCUAGUAGGUUAAAAUGGUACACUUAAAAAAUAAACUGUUUGAAGUUCUUAACUCUGCAUCGAGGGGUGGGAACCCAUUAAACAUGACAUCUUUGUUCCUGGGGACCCCCUGCAUGCUCGCAGCAGUCUGGUGAGGUGACCACAGAAGGCAGUGUGCGGUGGCCCCCGUACUGCAGUUUUACAUUCUGUCAGUGUUCAGUGCUUACGAUGGAUGACCCGGUGAGGAUGUCUGUCUUACACAGGUGGGAAGAUGAAGGUCAGAAAAGCUGGGUAACUUGCCCAAAGUCACACAGCUUCUCGGUUGGGGAGAAAGGGAUUCAAGCCGGGUUAGAGAGUGAGACUUCAAAGCCCCUUUGAGGCUGCUGAGCUGCGCAGCAGGAAGGAGCCACAGGAAGUGGUACUUCAAAGAUACUUGGCUAUUUGGCUGGGGGAGCAAGGAUUAACACCAGCUUGCCCCAAGACACAGGUGUAACACUUGUGAGGAGGCUGAGGAGAGGGAAUUCCUUACCAUUGUUAUGAGUGCUCGGAGGCCGGACCAGGUUGUAGCCAGCGGGUGGUAUUAGAACCCUCUGGGAACCUUUCUGGCCUGGUGUUUCUUGGUUUUACUAAUCUCUAGAGAAGAGUCUAAAGAUUAUCUUCAUAACCCACUUAGGAGCUGAGAAAGACAUUCAUUCCAGGAACAAUAGCUGGCUUUUAUUGGGUGGUUAACGCACACCCAGCUUUGGGUCAUUUGCAAAUGCAGGCAGCCUUAUUCUCAAGUUCACAUACUCUGCAAUACCCUAAAUAAACACUCCUCAGCUACAACUGUCCCUGAGGCUGCACCACUGAGCCCUUCAUCCCCAUUUCUCCAGUGGGAAGCCCACACAUCUGCAAUUGUGGGGGCUACAUUGCCCCAGUGAGAUGCUCAGCUCUGGAUGGGCCAACCAUGCCAUGCAAAAUGACAGAAGCCAACUAUGUGGCUUUUCUAGGAUAAAUCCAACCCUCUGGGUCACUGUCUUAGAAAUAUUUGCAUUGUUAAUCUUGUUGCCUAAAGCAUCACCAAAGAUCUCCCUAUCCCCCAAAGUUAAAGUUAAACCUGCAGAUGUGGUCUACGAUGGAGAGACUGGACAUCUACGACAGAUUAUGUCAGGAAAUAUUCACUCCUCGAAGAAUGCAGGAGAAUGUAAGGAUCGGUUUACAUCAGACCCACGCCCUAAUCCUGUGGCUCUGUGAGCUUCAGCAAAUUCCUUCACAGUUCCAAGUUUCAGCAUCCUCUUUGAUAAAAUGGAGAUUACACCCAGGAUUAGAAAAGUGGCUCAAUUCAGAGAACGUUUGCCUUGCCGAGCAAACAUGUGGACCUAAGUUCAGCCCCCCAGCAACCAUGUGAGAAGGUGGGACAUGUUCAUGUCUAAUUUCAGCAUCAGGGAGGCAGGGACCGUGAACUCCAGGUUCAGAGAAAGACCCUGUCUCAGAUAAUAAGGUUGAGAAUGGUUGACAAAGACACUCAAUGCUGACCCCUGAUCUCUACGUGGAUGCUUGCAUACACAUGCACCCUGCCCCACCCAACCAGUACCUACUUCAAAUAGUUGAAAGUGUUACCUGGGUACCAGUGCACACAACCCACAGUUAUUCUUGCAAUUGGAAAUAUAAAUUAGCUGUAUUAUUUCACCAGAAAUAAGCCAAGCUUUUGCUCUUACUUGUAGAUUUCUGGGAAGAACAAGCUGCAACAUAACCACAAGAGACAAAUAGCAAGCAAUUGGACAGCUGAUGAACAGCCUCCUGUCAAUCAUCAUCCUAAGUGAGCCAAUUGUUCUGACUGUCUGGUCUUCCAGGAUUGUGAUGUUGCCAUUGCUGGGCACCAGGCCAGCAGGCAGGCUGAGGCUCCUUCUGUGGAAGAGGAACUUGAUUUGCUUGCCAUAGAGAAUUGCCUGCCUUGCCUUGGCCGCACAGCUCAUACGCCAUAC